rnacentral:lncRNA from 1 species
UGGCCUCUCUCAGUGGGUUAAGGAUCCAGCAUUGCCAUGAGCUGUGGUGCAGGGUUGCAAACACAGCUCAGAUCCUGAGUUUCUGUGGCUGUGGUGUAGGCCAUCAGCUGCAGCUCCGAUUCCACCCUUAGCUUUGGAACUUCCAUAUGCCAUGGGUGCCUCCCUAAAAAGCAAAUAAUAAGAUAACAAAUAAUAAAAAAUCAAAGAAAAGGAUUACAAUGUGCUACAUGCUUUAUAUACUUUACUUCCUUUAAUCAAACAGUAAAGUAGAUAUUAUUCCCCUUUUCAGGUUAAAUACUUUACCAAACCUCUCUCAACUAUUCAGUGACAGAAGCUAGAUUAUAACCUAUCUGUCUCUCAAACCCAUUUUCUCAAAAAUUUUUUAUUUAAAAAAAAAAUCACAAUAUCAGAGUUCCCAGGUGGCUCCAUGGGUUAAGGACCCAGUGCUGUCUCUGCCGUGGCUCAGGUCACUGCUGUGGCAUUGUUGGAUCCCUGGCCUGGGAGCUUCCGCAAACUGUACUUGGAUUUUGUUUUUAUUCUUUUUAUUUUUUGUUUUUUUAUUUUUUUAUUUUUUUCGUCUUUUGUCUUUUUAGGGCCGCACCCACCGCAUAUGGAGGUUCCCAGGCUUGGGGUCUAAUUGGAGCUACAGCUGCUGGCCUACAGCACAGCCACAGCAAUGCCAGAUCCGAGCUGCAUCUGCGACCUACACCACAGCUCACGGCAACACCAAAUCCUUAACCCACUGAGCGAGGUCAGGGAUCGAACCCGCAACCUCAUGGUUCCUAGUCGGAUUCGUUUCUGCUGUGCCACAAUGGGGACUCCUGAAACCACAUGAUCACAGGCGUAAACAUUUUCUACAGGAUUCAAUAAAUUACAUGAACACUUUAUACAUUUUAGUAUAAAAUAGGCUUUGUGUUAAAUGAUUUUGCCCAACUGUAAUUUAAUGGAAGUGCUCUCAGCACAUUUAAGGUAGCCUAGGAGUUCCCAUCAUGGCGCAGCGGAAACAAAUCUGACUAGGAUCCAUGACGUUGCGGGUUCGGUCCCCGGCCUUGCUCAGCAGGUUACGGAUCCCAAGUUGCUGUGAGCUGUGGUGUAGGUUGCAGACUCGGCUCGGAUCUGGUGUUGCUGUGGCUGUGGUGUAGGUUGCAGACUCGGCUCGGAUCUGGUGUUGCUGUGGCUCUGGCGUAGGCCAGCAGCUACCCUGGGAACCUCCAUAGGCCGCCAGUGCGGCCCUAAAAAGGACAAUAG